UACAGAGGGGGCAAGCGUUGUUCGGAAUUACUGGGCGUAAAGGGCGCGUAGGUGGCCUUCUAAGUUGAACGUGAAAUCCCUGGGCUCAACCCAGGAACUGCGUCCAAGACUGGGAGGCUUGAAUCCGGGAGAGGGAUGCGGAAUUCCAGGUGUAGCGGUGAAAUGCGCAGAUAUCAGGAAGAACACCCGUGGCGAAGGCGGCUCUCUGGGACGGUACUGACGCUGAGACGCGAAAGCGUGGGGAGCGAACAGG
rnacentral:rRNA from 1 species